rnacentral:rRNA from 1 species
GAUGAACGCUGGCGGCGUGCCUAAUACAUGCAAGUCGAGCGAACAGACGAGGAGCUUGCUCCUCUGACGUUAGCGGCGGACGGGUGAGUAACACGUGGAUAACCUACCUAUAAGACUGGGAUAACUUCGGGAAACCGGAGCUAAUACCGGAUAAUAUAUUGAACCGCAUGGUUCAAUAGUGAAAGACGGUUUUGCUGUCACUUAUAGAUGGAUCCGCGCCGCAUUAGCUAGUUGGUAAGGUAACGGCUUACCAAGGCAACGAUGCGUAGCCGACCUGAGAGGGUGAAUGGACACACUGGAACUGAGAAACGGUCCCAACUCCUAACGGAGGCAGAAGUAGGGAAACUUCCGGAAUUGGCCAAAGCCUGAAGGAGCAACGCCGCCUGGGUUAUGAAGGUUUUCGGAUCGUAAAACUCUGUUAAUAGGGAAGAACAAAAUUGUAAGUAACUAUGCACGUCUUGACGGUACCUAAUCAGAAAGCCACGGCUAACUACGUG